rnacentral:rRNA from 1 species
GAUGAACGCUGGCGGCGUGCUUAACACAUGCAAGUCGAACGGAAAGACCCUGCUUUUGUGGGGUGCUCGAGUGGCGAACGGGUGAGUAACACGUGAGUAACCUGCCCUUGACUUUGGGAUAACUUCAGGAAACUGGGGCUAAUACCGGAUAGGAGCUCCUGCUGCACGGUGGGGGUUGGAAAGUUUCGGCGGUUGGGGAUGGACUCGCGGCUUAUCAGCUUGUUGGUGGGGUAGUGGCUUACCAGGGCUUUGACGGGUAGCCGGCCUGAGAGGGUGACCGGCCACAUGGGGACUGAGAUACGGCCCAGACUCCUACGGGAGGCAGCAGUGGGGAAUAUUGCACAAUGGGCGGAAGCGUGAUGCAGCAACGCCGCGUGCGGGAUGACGGCCUUCGGGUUGUAAACCGCUUUCGCCUGUGACGAAGCGUGAGUGACGGUAAUGGGUAAAGAAGCACCGGCUAACUACGUG